rnacentral:piRNA from 3 species
UUUGGUGUAUGUGCUUGGCUGAG